UGCGAUGUGGAACAAUUGGAAGUUCAUGAUCAGGAAUUAUGAUCGAGGUUGAUGGUUCGAAUCCAUCCGUCGCAU